ensembl:lncRNA
ACAAUUCACAGCCCACCCGGCCCUUCAAGUGCUGGGACAAGAGCCUCUCGUGUGUCCAUGGCAAGGCCAGUCAUUUCAUUUCUCUCUCGCUCUGCACAUGUUGUUCCUCAGCGCACAUUCGCUUCCUGAUUAUGAGAGGACCCUGAAAACCACUAAGAGCUAUUUAAGUCCCCUUCAGAGAAAAUAGUCCAUAAGGAGAAAUUUGUUUAUAUUUGCUGGUAACUGCAUGAUAAUAUAAGAUAAUGACUUGUAAUAUUACACCAGCAUCACAAAAAAAAAAAAGGAAAAAGAGAGAUGUAAUGUUGUCUUCAAGUGGACUGAGAAAGAUUGCAAUUACAGUAUGAGCACAAGAACAUUAAUGACUAAGCAAAGUCAUACUUACGUGUAGGAAGCUUUGAGUUUUCAGAUGACUCAUGAGAAGACACGUCAUGACUUCAGAAAACAAGUCUGGGGUGAAUAUAAAAUAAUGGUUUUGCAAGUUAUUUUCAUUUUGCUCACUGUAUUUUCAUUAUUUUAAAGGUGUGACUCAAAAAAGUUUCCAUACGGCAAAAAAAAAAAAAAUGAAUCCGUCAUUAUCUGGCCUAAACCCAUUUAAAGCCUUGUGUUUUAGAAAUGUGACAAAGUAAAAGAGAAACAGAUGGUUUCUAAAAGCAAUAAGCCAUUUUACACAGUUACAACGGUUAGCUGUGAAAGUAUGUCCCCUUCUCAUUUACUCUGAUUUAAAUAUAGCCUUAUGUUGGCCUCUUUUUAAAAUUUUCAUUUUCCCUUUAUUCAGUUUUUAAAGCUUGAGUCACACCUCACACACUGUCCUCGUUGGUGUAAAUAUCUACUGAUUUACAUCAGUUUGAGCCAAAAUACCAAAUAGUUUGAUUCCAUGUGUGGCCUUUGACUUCAAACAAUAUAUUUUGCAUUUCCUCCUACUGUCAAAUUUCACUAUGGUGCGGGAGCGAGGAACGAGGAGUACAUCAACACAGGAGAUUUUAAUGUCUUUAAGGGAACCAGGAAAAACACACGUAGCAGGAGAGGUUGACAUCCACAGACAUUUACAAUACUGGACGACCAGCCUUAGAACAGGGCUCACUAUAAAAUACACAGGACUAAAGGAUCGGAUGAUGAGACACACCUGGAACUAAUGAAACAAACAUAAUUAGAACAGGAAGAGCCAAAUAAGGGCAUGGAAACACAUGGGGAGCAAAACACAGAAGUCUGACAUCACCCAUUACCAUAGGCCUGGAGGCUGGUGCAGGACUGGGACACGGGGAAUACUUCCAGUGCGGAUCAGGCAGUCCAGGAGGCCAUGGCAGAGCAUACAGUCCAGGAGGCCAUGGCGGAACAGGGAGCUUAGGGAGCCAUGGCAGAUCAGAGAGUUCAGCCACUCGCCCCGGGCACUACAGCUGGGAACUCAGGACGCCAUGGCCUUGGCCUCGCCACUCAGCCUGGCCACUACGGACAGACCCAUACUACCCAUCCCCCCCCAAGAAAAAAAUCCUUGGUGAGAGUAUCAUCUUUAGAGGCCCUCUGUAGGCCCAACUUGGGAUAAAUGGCCCUCCCUUGGCUUGACUUGGAGACUGGAGCCCUCCUUGGGCUCGACAUGGAAACUGCAGUCCUUUCUGUGCUACACUCGGGGACAGGGGCCCUCUCUGGGCUAAAUUCUGGGACAGGAGCCCUCUCUGGGCUAAACUCGGGGACAGGAGCCCUCCUUGGGCUGGAUUUGGGGGCUGGAGCCCACACUGGAGUGAGGCCUGGGGCUGGAGCCGACACUGGAGUGAGCUCUGGGGUUGGAGCCGACACUGGAGCGAGCUCUGGGGCAGCCGGCUGGCUUGCCUAUGGAGAGGCCGCCGGGCUUGCAGGCUUGAGAAUGCUUGAUAGAGGAACAGCCGGCAGAGGGGUUCCAGAUCAGAAUCAGAGGCUCUCCAGACACCGGAUGACCACCUCCUUCCAGUCGAGGCUGGUGGUGUCUGGGAGUUCCACAGGGCGAUGGUAUGUGAUCCCGAGCUGUAACAGCAUCACCAGAGUCUCCCAAUGAAGGGAGCUGGCGAGGGCAAGCGGCACGAAUGCCCUCCCGUAGGUGAUUGGGUCAUGGCUAGCCUGAGCCACGGCGAUGAACAUCGCUCAUUCCUCCAUUAUAGUGAGGAGAAACAAACAGGAAAACAAAACACUUUUAAAAAAUUAAAAACAAACACGGGGAGAAGGGCCGCUGCUUACUGUCAUGGUCCGGUAUUCUUUAAAAAAAAAAACACAGAUAGCAGGAGAGGUUGACACAUCCACAGACAUUCACA